rnacentral:tRNA from 1 species
GCCUGUGUAGCUCAGUGAUAGAGCGGCUGCCCUGUAAGCAGUAGGUCGGGGGUUUAAAUCCCUCCACAGGCU